CCUGUGUAUAUUUCUAGAUCGUUUUCACCGCCGUAGUUUUGCUGUCACCUGCAUUAUCAAUUCAAACAGCUACAGGUUUACCAUUUUGGGUGUCGGUCGUCAUUGUGGGAUUAGUUGGAAUCGUGUACACGUCAAUGGGCGGCAUCCGAGGGGUGGUCCUCGUUGAUGUCUUUCAGGCGGCCAUCAUCAUGUUUGGUAUAUUCUUCGUUCUCGUGAAGGGUGUUCAUGAAGUUGGAGGUCUGGACACAACAUGGACCUUGGCGAAGGAAGGAGGCAGAAUUCCACCUGUCGACUUCGACCCUGAUCCCCGUAUCCGCCAUUCCUUCUGGGCCCUUACUUUGGGUGGACUGUUCACGUUCUUUGGCUACACAUUCGAUCAGUCUGCCAUUCAGAGGAUCUGUGCAAUACCUAAAAUGUCCGGAGCCAAAACUGUGUACGCUCUCAACAUAUUCAUCGUCAGUACCUACAUCAUAUGUGUGUGCUUUAUGGGAAUCGUAGCUUACAGUUACUUUGCGACGAUAGGGUGUGACCCCUUCAAAGCCGGUAUACUAACAAAUAGCAAUCAGUUGAUGCCGUAUUUUGUCAUGAAGAUCUUUGAAGAUUUCCCUGGUAUGUCAGGAAUCUAUCUGGCAACAAUCUUCAGUGGUGCGCUCAGUACAAUAUCAUCAAUCACGAACGGUCUUGCUGCAAACACCAUAGAAGAUAUACUGAAACGCCCAUUUGAGAAGUGCGGGACAUCGGAAUCAGUGAAGCUGCUCACAGCAAAACUAGCAGUGUGGUUUUACGGUGGCGUCUGUAUAGGUUUGGCUUUCCUGUUAAAAGAUUUGUCAGGUACAAUCAUACAGACAGCGAUAGCCCUGUUGGGAGCUUGUGGCGGACCAAUAGUUGGGACGUAUUUCCUUGGCGCGCUCUUCCCAUGGACAAAUAAAAUUGGAGCCAUUGUUGGGAGUGCUCGUGGCCCUAGCCCUGAAUAUAUGGUUGACUGUCGGGGCAACAUUGUACGGCCACCCACCCGUGAAGCUACCCCCAGCCCCUGGAAACUCAUGUGACAUCCUCAUUUCCGGUAACAUGACUUCACCAUACACGACGACAACACCAACCAUCACAAGCACCUUGUCGUCAAGCGACGUCACCACCGCCGACCCUAAAGGCAGUGUGUUCGAUAUCUCUUACCAAGAUUAUGGGCUGAUUGGAUGGUUGAUAGCCGUGUUUGUGGGAUCGAUUGUUAGCCUUGUGACAUGCAGGAUGUACCCGCGCAUCAAGGAUGAGAGGUUCCUGUUUCCCUUUGUACGACCAUUGUGGAGAAUCAAGAACUCGGAGAAAACAGAGCAACAAGAGAACAGUCAUGUUGGACAGAAGCAGAAAGAAGGCGAUGUCUGGAGC